GAUCCCCGAUAUUCUUGUUGUUUUGUUCCCUCUUAUAUUUACUCAACCAAAAAAAAAAUCUACCUGUAGGGUUUCUGAACAACCGAUGUUAAUAUCUUCGAUUGGGGACGAUCAUUCCUUAAACCCUUUCUGCCUCUUCUGAGAAAAUCUCAACUUUCACUAGGAACAUUCUUCUUCGCUGAAAUGCAUGGCGCGCAGCCUGAGAAAGAGGAGAGGGUUUCCAUGGAGCUGACGGACGAGGUGUUGAAAAGCAUGGAAGUUGGUAUGGCGUUCAGGGAUUAUAAUGGUAGAAUCACUUCAAUGGAUUUCCAUAAAGCUACGAGUUAUCUUGUGACGGCUAGUGCUGAUGAAUCAAUUCGUCUUUAUGAUAUACAGAAUGCAUUGUGCUUGAAGACCAUCAAUAGCAAAAAAUAUGGAGUUGAUUUGGUUUGCUUCACUUCUCAUCCAACAACAGUUAUAUACUCAUCCAAAAAUGGUUGGGAUGAAUCUCUUAGGCUCUUAUCUCUCAAUGAUAAUAAAUAUUUGCGGUACUUCAAAGGUCACCAUGAUAGGGUUGUUUCUCUUUCAUUGUGUCCCUGUAAAGAGUCUUUUGUGUCAGGUUCUCUUGAUAGAACCGUUUUGCUAUGGGAUCAACGAGCUGAGAAGUCUCAGGGCCUUCUACGCGUGCAAGGAAGACCUGCGGUUUCUUAUGAUGACCAAGGAAUGGUUUUUGCUAUUGCGUUUGGAGGAUUGAUAAGGAUGUUUGAUGCUCGAAAAUUUGAAAAGGGCCCAUUUGAUACAUAUUCUGUUGGAGCAGAUAAAUCUGAAGCCAAUGUACUAAAAUUUAGUAGUGAUGGAAGGCUCAUGCUUUUAACUACUAUGGAUGGGCAUAUUCACAUCCUUGACUCCUUCCGCGGUAAUCUUCUGUCUACUUAUAACGUAAAGUCAGUUUCAAGCCACGCAACUUUGGAGGCUUCUUUCAGUCCUGACGGAAUGUACAUUUUAUCAGGUAAGAGAAUUUUCACACAUCGUCUUAGCAACAAAGCUCUGGUGAUGGAAGUGUCUAUGCUUGGAGUGUCAGAAGUGGCAAGGUUGCCUGUUGGGCGAGUACUGACGUAGAACCACCGCUGAUAAAAUGGGCCCCAGGAAGCCUUAUGUUCACAACUGGAUCAUCUGAACUGUCAUUUUGGGUGCCUGACUUAUCCAAGUUGGGUUCUUUCGUGGGCUCGAAGUAAAGCAAAUAUGUGCGAUCUUCGUGAUCAACUUGGAAGUGACUUGCAGCUACUGAAGCUAUUUACACAUCAGGAGUUAGAAUUAAUUAGCAGACAAUCUGUUCUCUUCGUAUAUAUUAGGCUUAUCCAGUUUUCUAUUUUUCCACAGCUGUAUUAUUGUAUAUAGUAGGGUUAUUAUGUGUAUGGUAGUGGAGACAAUCAUUGCAAAUUUGUAAAUUAUACACAAGGUAAUUUAUGUGGUGUUAAAAAGAGAGGACAUGAGAAAAAACUCCCAAACAAGAAUAGUGUGUUCUGGACA